AUGCAUCUCUUCCUCAUCUAUUUCGGGUUUUUCUUGUCCCUACACUUCCCUGGAUGUUCUGCUGCCAUGGACGCCAUUACAUCUAGGCAAGCACUUGUCGGCAACGACAGGAUCAUCUCUAAUAACGGCAAGUUUGCUCUCGGCUUCUUCCAGACAGGCAGUAAGUCCUCCCACAACACCCUGAACUGGUACCUAGGCAUAUGGUACAACAACGUCCCCAAGCUAACUCCGGUAUGGGUAGCAAACGAUCAUAACCCAGUUACAGACACCACCACGUCGGAGCUGAUAAUAUCCAGUGAUGGCAACCUCGUCAUCUUAAACCAAGUCACUAUGUCCAUCAUCUGGUCUACCCACACGAAUACCACAAGCAACAAUACCAUUGCUACGCUAUUGAACAGCGGAAACCUCAUCCUACAGAACUCCUCGAACUCAUCAAAUGUGUUGUGGCAGAGCUUUGAUUACCCCACAAAUACCUUCCUUCCUGGUAUAAAACUAGGUUGGAACAAGGUCACGGGUCUGAAUCGCCGUCUGGUUUCUAGGAAGAACUUGAUUGACCUAGCCCCUGGCAGAUAUGGUGAAGAAUUAGACCCAAGUGGUGCCAAUCAGUACAUCUUUACACAGCUGAACUCGUCCAUACCAUAUUGGUCGAGUGGGGUAUGGAACGGCCAAUACUUUCCGUCAAUACCAGAGAUGGCAGGCCCUUUUGUUGUAAAUUUUACAUUUGUCGACAAUGACCAAGAGAAGUACUUCACGUAUAACUUACUAGACGAGACAAUCAUUUUCCAUCAUCUGUUGGAUGUCUCAGGUCAAACAAAAUCUUUCCUUUGGCUUGAGAGCUCACAAGACUGGGUGAUGACCUAUGCCCAACCCAGAGUUCAAUGUGAUGUAUUUGCUGUUUGUGGACCAUUCACAAUUUGUAAUGAUAAUACAAUUCCAUUCUGCAACUGUAUGAAAGGAUUCUCCAUAAGAUCACCUAGUGACUGGGAGCUAGAUGAUCGAACAGGCGGCUGUGUGAGAAAUACUCCAUUAGAUUGCGGUAUCAACAAAAGCAUAAGUGAGGAAGACAGGUUCUACCCUAUCACAUGUGUUGGAUUGCCCAAUAACGGACACAGCACAGAAGAUGCUACAAGUGAAGAUAAAUGUACCGAAGUUUGCAUGGGCAGCUGCACUUGCACUGCAUAUUCCUAUGGUGUCAAUGGAUGUUUUAUUUGGAAUGGUGAAAUUAUUAAUGUGAAGCAGCAACAAUGUGAUGAUACUACAAAUACUAACAAAGCCACUCUUUACAUGCGCCUAGCCAACAGAGAGGUACAAAGGUUGGAAAGCAACAGAAGACGGAUAAUCAUCGGCACAGCAAUUGGUGCAAGUGUUGCUUUCUGCGGUUUAUUGUCACUCUUCUUGCUACUGAUGAUUAAGAGGAACAAGAGGUUGUCUGCUCAUAGAAUGGAAAACCUUCAAGGUGGUGGGGGCAUUAUUGCGUUUAGAUAUGUUGAUUUGCAACGUGCAACAAAAAACUUCUCCGAGAAGCUAGGGGCAGGUGGUUUUGGUUCUGUAUUCAAGGGGUUUCUAGAUGACUCCACUGCCAUAGCAGUUAAAAGGCUUGAUGGUGCUUGCCAAGGAGAGAAGCAAUUCAGAGCUGAAGUGAGAUCAAUUGGCUUCAUUCAGCAUAUCAAUCUAGUUAAUCUAAUUGGCUUUUGUACUGAGGGUGACGGUAGGUUGCUUGUCUACGAACACAUGCAAAAUCGUUCUCUUGAUGCUCAUUUAUUUCACAAUAAUGGUACAAUUUUGAAAUGGAGCAUUAGGCAUCAAAUAGCUCUUGGAGUUGCUAGAGGACUGGUCUACUUGCAUGAUAGUUGCCAGGAUUGCAUCAUACAUUGCGACAUUAAGCCAGAGAACAUACUUCUAGAUGCGUCAUUUGUUCCGAAAAUAGCAGAUUUCGGGAUGGCAAAGUUUCUCGGAAGGGAUUUUAGUCGAGUUCUCACUACAAUGAGAGGAACAAUUGGAUAUCUAGCACCUGAAUGGAUUAGCGGAACUGUUAUUACAGCAAAAGUUGAUGUCUACAGCUAUGGCAUGGUUUUGUUGGAAAUUGUAUCAGGGAAGAGGAACUCAGGUAGACAGUAUACAACCGGUGAUGAUUAUGUCUAUUUCCCUGUGCAAGUUGCAAACAAACUACUGGAGGGGGGUGUGGGGAGUCUGGUGGACAUCAAUCUACAUGGCGAUGCCCAUUUGGAACAGGUGGAAAGAGCUUUGAAGAUUGCAUGCUGGUGUAUUCAAGAUGACGAGUUUGAUCGACCCACAAUGGGUGACGUUGUUCAAAGUCUUGAAGGCCUUCUUGAAGUCAACAUACCCCCAAUGCCAAGACUACUUCAAGCUAUUGCAGGGAAUCAACAUUCAACAUUUGAUGGGCACCUGGACCAAGCUUCACAAGAGGCAGGCAAACUGCAACAUACCUCGGAGCUUCAUGAAGACAGGUUGCUGCAAUGA
rnacentral:rRNA from 1 species